CUCUGGAGAAAUGGAGACCACACAGUGCACAGAGACAAGGGGCGCCUCUCUCUCAACAAACCCCAGGCUGGCGGGGCUGCAAAAGAGGGCUCAGAGGGAGCUUGACGGACCCUAAAACCUGACUCCACAGACUAUGAAAAACCCUGGGGGAGAGAAAAGCACAGGAAGGCCAGAAGGGAAAGAAGAAAGAGAUAGAAGAGAAGACAGCAAAGGAAGAUAAGAAAAAUGCAAGCUCUGGCCGGGCACAGUGGCUCACACCUAUAGUCCCAGCACUUUGGGAGGCGGCCUGAGGAGGAUUGAGAUGAAAUACUGUAUGGAAAACGUCGAGUGCAGCACAUUGUUAAUGUAUAAUAGAUGUCAGCUACUGCUAUUCAAAAGUGGCUUCCGCAGCGUCCUCAUUCGCUCCCGCGCGUCCUCAAU
rnacentral:lncRNA from 1 species